UUCCUUUGAGGAUUGCAGAAAGUUAUCCAGUGCAGUUUUAACACAGACUCUCCAAAAAUGACAGCUCUGAUGAGCCUUUAGGGAACUGAGAUUGGAUGUAUAAGAGUGGCUUCUUUGCUUUGAACUUCAGGCUUCAAUGAAUCAGAAAAGAAAGUUAGAUCCAAUAUAGAAAACGUUCUGCAAAUGACUUCCUAAAGGAAACCUACAACUGCAAUUAACAGAAGACUUCUAAGGAUCUCAACAAUCCCUCUGGAAGGUUAUGUCAAACAAAAAAGCCUGGAAAACUGCUUCUUCCUUAGCCUCCUCCACAGCCAGAGGUGGUCAAGUUAUUCAUCUGAUUACCAGAGAUGCCACCAGAAGUUUAGUGGAGUUAUCUGGGAAAGUUUUCUUUCUUUCUCAUACUUCCUUCUCGCCUUUCAUUGCUGUUUUAAACACUCACAUGAUGCCUGAAUCUGAGGCAACCGUCUUGUUUUAUAUUGAGUCACUAAACCUACCAAUGGUCACCUACAUCCAUACUUGCUGUUGUGUAAAACAAACAACUCACCUGCUUUUAUACCACUGUAAAUUGGGUCUUAUCUUCUAUUUUAAACUAUGUCUAACUGAUAUAGCAUACUAUGAAGUAAUAUCUAUAUAA
rnacentral:lncRNA from 1 species